rnacentral:tRNA from 1 species
UGCUCCGAUAGUGUAGCACGGCCAAUCAUGUCAGACUCUCACUCUGACGACUGGGGUUCAAAUCCCCAUCGGAGCAUC